rnacentral:rRNA from 1 species
CAGUAGCCGCGGUAAUACGAAGGGGGCUAGCGUUGUUCGGAAUUACUGGGCGUAAAGAGCGCGUAGGCGGCCAUUCAAGUUAGAUGUGAAAGCCCUGGGCUCAACCUAGGAAUUGCAUUUGAUACUGUUUGGCUUGAGUUCGGGAGAGGUGAGUGGAAUUCCCAGUGUAGAGGUGAAAUUCGUAGAUAUUGGGAAGAACACCAGUGGCGAAGGCGGCUCACUGGACCGACACUGACGCUGAGGCGCGAAAGCGUGGGGAGCAAACAGGAUUAGAUACCCCAGUAGUCCCUGUCUCUUAUAC